rnacentral:lncRNA from 1 species
UAAGGACAGAGUUACCCUCCUUCUUCGCGACCGGAGAAGAUCGACCUUCAAACAACAGAGAAAACCCUAGGUACAAAACCCUAGGUGUAACCUUUGAAGUCCUUACUGAAAUGUGGUCAGGAAUGUCGGAAAGGCACCCAAAACAUCCAUUGAGUGAGAAUCGAGCCACCGGAUAGCAGUAGAACUCUAGGUUAAACCACCAGAAACCCUAGAAGCCGAUAGGUCACCGAGAAGCCACCCAAAAAUCAGCAGAAAAUCUUUCAGAAUGUUCGGGUGAAUAAAAUACACUCAGAUAUCAUGAUGAGAAACUCGGAAAAAACAUCCGAUCUAGGUCAGAAGCAUCAUCGACCACAAGGUCUCAGAAAAAUCCCCAAAAAAUCUCAAAAAGGAGUUCAACCAAGACAACGAGAUGUAGAGAAACAUAGUCGGAUCGUCGUCUAGGCUCUGAUACCUCAUGUACCAAAAAAUCUCAAAAAGGAGUUCAACCAAGACAACGAGAUGUAGAGAAACAUAGUCGGAUCGUCGUCUAGGCUCUGAUACCAUGUAAACAUUGACAUUAGACUGAGAAAUCAUAGAAAAUGUAGAGAGAGAAAGUAGAGAGAAGGAGGAGCGUUUGGAACUCUCUGGAAAGCAGAGAGAUGUUAUUACAGAGAAAAUAAUGUGAGAAUGA